CAAGGUGCCCAUAAAACAUGUCCCUGAAGCACCGACAUAGAGAACACUUCUCCUCUUGAUUGCUCUGAAGAAAGUUACCAAAUCACACCUGUGGAAAUUCUGCUGAUCAACAUGCGGGCAUCCAACCCUACCUGCUUCCAUUACUUAGGUAGCCCAGAGAGCCAUAUGGGAAGAGGCUUGUACAAUGCAGUGUGCUUCUUUAUUCUUUAGCUUCAAAUGGGAACCAAAGGAACAACUCAUCCAGGAUGAAGACAUGCACAGAUGCUUCUCAUUAGCCUCAGCCACAGGUGCCAGCUGGUCCCCUACCCAGGUGAUGUUGGGCCCCAUGCCUGUCACUGGGAAGGAGCCCAGCAGAGGGGUAGGGGUCGUGCACCCUUAGUACCAUGCAUCCAGGGCAAGCUCACGUUUCUCUGCCAGGUUCUGCCAAAAGGAAGCUCCCAAAAUCCAUCUGGCUGCUUUUUAUCUCAGGAGAAAACGUGAGGAACACUAAAAAUCUCCACGAAGCAGUUCAAAUAAAUAUUAGUAACUUCCUCAAUCCUUGUUAAACAAAAACACAUGAAAGUUAAGUUUCCUACCCUAACAAAAGAUGUGUUUGCAUUCUCUCUGUCUAGUGUGUUUUUAAAGGUUUUACUCUCAAAGUAUUAACUCCCAAGACUCAUUCUAGUGCUGUGAGAGAAAGGCAAGAAGUCAACAACAGCUGUUUUGCCACAGGCUAGAUGCAGGUAUCCCUCUUGCACAGCAUAUUAUUCCCCUCGCGCAGUGUAUCUCCCUUGCAUACCAUAUUGCACAGCAUAUUCCCCUUGCACAGCAUAUUCCCCAUGCACAGCACAUCACCCAGCUCAAUGCAGCACAGAGCAGCUACCCAGGGCCUCCAGGAGGUGGCUGUACAGCCUAAUGGUUAUUGCUGUACAAGGCAGCCCCUGCUCGUAGAUAAGUGCUAACUACCUAGAACUGACUAAAGAAGACACAUUCCCUCUCAUUUGUUUUCUUUUCUUUGCCCUGUCCUAAAAGCUGCUCUCGCAGAUGCUAGCCUAGAGAUUGCUAGAGUCAGUGUGUCCCGCUGCCUGAUGUCCCACAUCCCAUGUCCCACCACUGCCUGAAGUGCCACCACCCGAUGUCCCAUGUCAGGCACAACAAACUCGCACUGCAGCCUCCUGCUUACAGUGAAUAUCACUCCAAAAAGACAGAAGCAGGCAUUCACAUGCAGCUUCCCCUCCUAAGGAUGUCCCUCUUCUUCCACAUUGUCCUGCCCCAGGUGUCAGAGGGGUCUGCAUGGGCUCUUUUUUUCCCUUGUCAGUCAGAUAAUUGUACACAAGCUGCAUGGCUCAUUCUCUGCUUCUGCUGCAUUUGCAGACUUGGGGCAUUGCACUUCUCUUGCAUUAAUCUUGUUUUUCACUAAUUUACAUGGACACAAAACCAAAUCAGACCAUUUGGAACCCUGCCACCAAGUUUCGAGCAAAAAUAAUGCCAACGGUGCUUAGUUAAUGUUCUUUGCAGAGGAGGACACAGGUGGUGCAGGAGGACUCACGGUCCUGCAGCUCCUCGCUGAUGUCAAUGCUGCAGUGAACAUCUGCUUAGAGCAACACUUGUUCUUCUGAGGUCAGCAGUGCAUCCACACAAAGUCAUGAACAGAAACCAGAGUGACUUUCCUCAGUGGUUUUCCUCCAGUGCUCAUGCUGUCCCAUCCAGGACACUCUGAUCGAUCUUUUCACCUCCGGUUGCACAGUAAGGACACAUGGACCAACAGGCACACAAGGAGGGUCUUCUCAGUGCAGCACGGUGCUGCGCUGCAUCUCAUCCCCCUGGAAAGUCCUGGUCUGACACAGCAUCUUCCCUGUACCCGUUCUCUGAACAGGGUACAAAUUCUGUAGCCAACUGUCCAGCCUGGCUGUGUUGGUAUUCAAAAAUACCGAAAUAUCAGAGAUGAUGAAGCAACCGAUCAGAAACUGCCUGGCCAGCCUCCGUGGGGAGAGAGAUGGAGGGGCACCCAGAAAAACUCCUUUGAUGAGGAUGAGUGAUGCGUUUUAUUUGGCAUCUCAGAACUACGGCCCAGCAAAACAAGGCCCGAGCCUCAGAUUUCUGACUCUGGCAUUUUGACGUUUUUAUUAUUAAAAAACCAACUGCAAGAAUUACUAAAAAUAGUAAAGCUCUGUGUGUACAAAAAAACCCACCUGCACUGAGAGUUUACAUACCCAAUUCCUUUCCACUGAAAGGAAACAUACUGAACAUCAGAACAAAAUGAUCGUGCAGGUAAAUGCAACCUGAUUUCAACAGAUGUCCUUAUUGCUUAAGGCUUCUUUCCCACCCUUCCCACCUAAAACUUCAUAGGAAUUACCCUAUCUGAGAAGGCACCGGCCUGCCCUGCGAAAUGCAGGGGAGAAAUGUUACCAAAAGAAAAAAAAAGGGCCAAGCCCAGACGCGCUUUUCACAUGCCCUGGGAUCAGCAGUGUGUGACUGCAGUUUAUAUAGGAAGAGCAGCAUCGGAUCCAGGUCUGGAAGCACUUUCCGAGUUCAGGGGUCUGAGGAGGCAGCGGGAAGGCCUUGUGUGUCCGCCCUCCGUGUGUGCUACCGAGCAGGAGGAAAAGCUCCCAAACUGCCGCCCAUGAGGGGGAAGGGGAGGGGAAGAAAGGAACACACGCAAUUUACUUUUAAAUGGAUGAAUAAGGCCUCAUUGUUAUGAAUCCCAGUUUACUUUUCCUGGUCAGGCACUUGAAAUUUUAUUUAUGCUUAAUAGACUGCGUUUGGCAUGUGUAAAGAUGACAGAGGCGUGAAUUAUGAACGACCUUCCACCUCUGCAGGAAGUUGUAAUAAUUGAAAUAAUAGCGAAAAUGCGCUCCCCGUGAGCGGGGCCUAGGGCCGCGCGCUUUGAAGCGCCCCGCGGGGCACAGGCCGCGCCGGCAGGGCCCGGCCUUCCCCACGGCCACAGACACCGUGAGGGGAAAAAGCGGCAUUUCGUGCGUGUGUGUCACGGGGAAGUGGGAGGAUGAGCGGAGAACUGGCUCUGAAAGCGACGGAGGAAAGCUGAGGAGAAAGGUCCAAAUGGCGAAAAGUCAACUCUCGGUCUGCGGUGAAGAACUGUUGAGGCUGGAGGGCUGUAUUGGGAAAACUGAGCCCUGUUUCAGGAUGUUCUCCUGAAAUGGCACCUGGAGUGCCCACUUCUGCCUGACUCUGGGCAGUCCCUGCACAGGACACUCUCUGCUCUGCAUCCCUUCCAAGUGAUGCUCACGCCUUCCUCCAUGGCUGGUUUCUGGUGUAUGUCAGCCCAGAGUCCAGGUUAAGGACUGCCACAUCCAGACGAGCUCCUGAGGAUGCCGGCACGGUCCCACUUGCCCCACUGAUGGCCACCUGCACCCGGGCCCACGUGGAUCUGCAGGCAGAGCACAGCCCUCCAACAUCCUGCUGCCACUCCUGAACCACUGAACGCGCUCACUGAGUGGCCGCCCCACUGUCUGUGCAAACAUCUACAAACGAGCAAACCCCGCUGUGCGAGUGGGACUUGACAGCUCUCGUCACCAAACGGCGUUCCUGCGUGCAGACAGCGUGCCCUUCUGCUUUUAUUAAUCGUCAACGAAGAGCUUAUCGCCUUGCAGAGAGGCGACAAUUAGCUGCCGGUUUGGUGCUGAGCGGUUCCUCGCAGGUCACGUCAGGACAGGACGAAGCUCAAGCAGCAACGCUGGCAGCGCUAGGCUGCAACAACACAGGCGCUGGGCAGGAGGCUCAGCACAGCAUCACCUCUAAUUGCCACAAAUGGAAAACCGCAGCUGAUGAGCUCCUGGUUCCACCAGCCCCAUGCUAGCACGACCUCGCUCCACUGGAAACAGGUUUUCAGUGGGAGCUGGAUUAAGCUUUAUUUGCUUAAUAAACUAAUAACUCGUAGGAGGAAUAAUGACAGAAUAGGGCCCCGCAUGAGCUCAGUGCACACAUGCCCUCCUGACCCAUAACAGCCAAAACCUUAAUUUCACUCUCUGACAACAAAGCCUCAAAACUAUUCCUUAAAUACACAACUUUUGCAGGUGGCUGUGUGUCUGGGGCUGCUGGAGGAGUCUCGGUGUUUCUCUGCCUGUGAGCAGCACGCCGUGCUGGGGGGGGCACAGGCAGUAAAACCUGAAACAUGAGGCUGUGCCUGCAGAUUGCAAAAGUUUGUAAACCUUGUAAGAUGCGAUCAGAUCUGGUGGAACCUACAGCAGCAGGUUCACUCGCCUCCAAUUGUAUCACUGACACCGUGCACACAGUUAUUCUACUGUUAUUUCUCCCACUGCAGUGGCAUAUACUUGAGUAUGUGGGAGAAGAGCACACACAAAAACAGACCACCAAAACCCUCCUAUUUCAGCUCAUGCAGCAAACCAAAACCUCAGCAAGCUCAUCGUGAGCCACGUGCAGCUUUCCCUAGGUAAAACAAUGGGAAUCUUCCAGGAGACCUGGAAGCUCAACUCACUUUUACAACGGUAUGUGGCCACAUCACUGUCACAGGUCUGCAAGCAAUAAGCAAGACAGAAACAACUCCAGGAGGUCUAACUCAAAGUGCAAUGAACACUUCCCUAAAUGAACAAACAAACAAAAAAAUUUAAAAAUCUAAAGAAAAGAAAGAAAGGAAGAAAUAAUAAAAAAAAAAAUUGCAGCUUAAAGGUGACCGUGAUCCCGGCUUAAAAAUGUGCUUGGAACUUGUCACAGUCCCUGACGCACCGUUGCUAUACUUAAUGUAUUUUCAACCACACUUUCAUUAACAUAUAUAUUUAAAAAUAAUGCUUCUGCUGGGAUGACAGCACUGCCAGAAAGUCUACCACGGCUAAUCGUUCUGAAGUCAUUAAAAAGUUGAACUAAUAGAUAUUUAAUGAGAGAUAACAGAGGGGACUCGUCCAAGUUAGGAGAAACUGCUACUGACUCCUGACUUUGAGCUGGAAAAACACAUUCCAACCAAAUAAUAGUGACAAGACUUUGCAGCUCUGCACACACUGCAGUCUCUUUGGGGAAAAGGAAAAAAUGAGUGUGCUGUUUGUGGAAUUUUAUUAUUCAUCUACAUCUUGAAUUACAUGCCAUCAGGUUAGAUGGGGUAUGGCAGCAGAUAAUAGGAAGACAGCAAAGAGAAAUCCUAGAUCGACUUUGUUUGAAAUAAAAAAAAUUCUAAAAAAAAUGCAGCUUUUAAACCCUACUCCACCUCCAAUCAAAUGAAAUACGAGUUGCAUCCCGCGUGCAUGUUUUGACUGCAUCCCACCAUUAUCGAGCUGUUCAUCUCAGCAAAGCCCAUUUCUACAGCCCUAUGAAAGAGCCCAGGCCUUUUGUAAAGCUGAUCCCAAGUGAUGAAACUUAACCUCCAACACGAAUCGGGGGGCGGGGUGGUAUGCCUCUGAAAAAAGUCUGCUGGAGAAAACAACAAAAAAAUGUUUUUCUUUCACUCUUUUUGUGAAAUGCAGGAGGUGCAGCUUAGCAGAGCGACUAGAUUACACAUCGGGCUGAGCUGCACCGAAAUCCUGCCUCGAGCAGUCUGGGAAUCAUACCUGCCUGUCACUCAGGCUUGAAUUUAGUAGCAUAAACUUGCGGCCAGCGCGAGGCUGAGUGCUGGCAGGAUCUCGUACCUUUUCAGGUACGGCACAAUGUUUGCUUGUGAAUUUUACAGAUGAGUUGAAGCAAUUAGAGGAGAACAAUUACUGCUGAUCAAGUGUCUGUGCCUCGGGAGCGCAGGAGGGCUCCUGCGGAGGGGAUGCUCCUGGUGCUGCGCGGGGUGCCGAGGUGCUGCCCCAGGGACGUGGGGACAAGGGGACACGGGCUGCACCCCGGCUUGGCCCACACCCUGCACUUCUCAGGCUGCAUCGCUUCUGCGAUGCUCCAGCUCAAGCUGCAGGCACCGCGCUCGCCCUCUGCUUUACCUUGCUGUUCUCCUUCCUUUUUAGGAGCUACAGGAGCAGACUGACACAGCGCAACGCACUGACUUGCAUUUGUCACUCCUUCUAUGUGGCCGCGUCUGGCCAUGUAACGUCCAUUUCCCAGUUUGCCUCCCCAUUAUAUUUUAUAUUACCUCUCGUGAGCUCGUGCCAGAGGAAAGCAGAAGGAGGAGCUGUUAGAAAGGCUUUUUUUGGUUUGAGAUUCGAGAGCACAUUUUUAGCAUUAACUUUUUAGGUUCUGGUCAUAAAACGCUGCAGUAUGUGUACAGUAUUGUGGGUGAAUUUGCCGCGUUUCCAGAGGGCCAAAUGGGCAACAACCUCUUGCUGACAGCGUGCAGCUCACGGCGAGCGACUGGAAAGACGACCCAUUUUUAAUUUCCAAACCUCAGCAACAACGAGCCAUAAAAACGCAGAAUUAUGAACGGCACGAUACCGUGCGAAAUAAAUAACAAGCCUCCAGUGAAUGAAAGAAAUCAUUGGCAGCGGUACAGCCACCAUUACCAAAUCUCAGCAAUGUAAACACUAAAAAAAGAGAAAGUUACAAGCGCCAUAACUCUCAUUCCAAAAGCGUCCCAGGGCCGGUGCGUGGCUGCGGCUCCGGGCAGAUGCUGCUGUUCCAGCCCAGCGCAUAUUUCCCAUCGCAGAGCACCGCCACCGACGCAAACGCCCUAAACCAGCUGCUAUAUAAAAAAUAAAUGAUAUCUCGGCCGGCCGGGUCGUUCCGUGCUAACACGUGCUCCGGGCUGAAUGUUCAGAGUCGAAAAUUAAAAAAAUCCUCUGUCACAGUUUGUGCAGAAGUUAAUGGAGAGCGGCUUCCAUCAGCGAGCUGGUAGGGGCUGAGCGCACCGCGCUGUGGGCUGGAAGGAGCAGGCUGCCUCACAUCCAUUUCCUUCACGUAAGGCAUUUGAUUGGGAAGAGGGAUUUCGAAGGGAAGCUUCGUGCCUGGUUGUGAUUCUUCUUUCAAUACUGUCAGGGCAAUUAAGGCAGCUCGAGGUAAUCUUUAACGUUCACCUGAUGCGGUUAAUUAAGCGGUGAAAAACGCAACGCCGAUGAAAGGCAUCGAACGCCGUGUCGCAGGUAUCCACGUUUGAACGCGCAACGAGGAUACCCCGUCAGUCAGCGCUUUGCUGUUUUAUGUAUUUCACUUUCCUACAGCACAGCUUCCUUAACCUGACUUCACCCACGAAAAUAUUUCAUAGCGGCGCGCAUUAUCCGCAGACCAAAGCAAAGCCUCGUUUAGGGAACACCUAAUAACUCAUCAGCAUAAUUGAAAACAAAAUGCUUCGCCGCGUCCUCCCUCCCUGCCCCAGUCUCUCCAACACACAGGAGAAGUAACACUUCAGCCUAACAAAGAGUGGAUUUAAGCGCGCCGAACAAAAAGAAACAGCAAACCACCCGAGAUCCUGGUUCAGCACAGAAGCAGGAUUCGCUCUAGCAAAGUGUUCGGGGAAGGCAGAGUAAUAUUUGUGCACGUGGGCAUUGAGAGGCAGAGCCCCACGCGUGCAGCCGCACGGGUGGGAUUAGCAGCUCUGCAUCUUCACCUCCACUCUUGCCAUUAAUUGCACACUGAAGUUUCUGCUCAGUGCAACAGUUUCAUAGAGCAAUGGAGCUGGAGUGGAACGGGAACCAGAAAACGCUUCUAAGCCCAAAUCAGCAAAUAUCGGCUCUGCAUUCCUAAGAAAGCAGUCCCCGUUUUUAUCAGGUACGAGAUCAGAAAAAAAAAAAAAAAAAAAAAGAAAGAUGUUGAAAA